rnacentral:rRNA from 1 species
ACCUACGGGAGGCAGCAGUGGGGAAUAUUGCACAAUGGGGGGAACCCUGAUGCAGCGACGCCGCGUGAGUGAAGAAGUAUUUCGGUAUGUAAAGCUCUAUCAGCAGGGAAGAUAAUGACGGUACCUGAAUAAGAAGCCCCGGCUAACUACGUGCCAGCAGCCGCGGUAAUACGUAGGGGGCAAGCGUUAUCCGGAUUUACUGGGUGGAAAGGGCGUGUAGGCGGGAAAGCAAGUAAGGUGUGCAAACCAUGGGCUCAAACU